UACGUAGGGGGCUAGCGUUGUCCGGAUUUAUUGGGCGUAAAGAGCGUGUAGGCGGCCAGGUAGGUCUGCUGUGAAAACUCGAGGCUUAACCUCGAGAUGUCGGCGGAAACCGCUUGGCUAGAGUCCGGAAGAGGAGAGUGGAAUUCCCGGUGUAGCGGUGAAAUGCGCAGAUAUCGGGAAGAACACCUAUGGCGAAGGCAGCUCUCUGGGACGGUACUGACGCUGAGACGCGAAAGCGUGGGGAGCGAACAGG
rnacentral:rRNA from 1 species